UACGUAGGUGGCGAGCGUUAUCCGGAUUUACUGGGUGUAAAGGGUGUGUAGGCGGACUUGCAAGUCAGGUGUGAAAUUCAUCGGCUUAACUGAUGAACUGCACUUGAAACUGUAGGCCUUGAGGAUCGGAGAGGUAAGCGGAAUUCCCAGUGUAGCGGUGAAAUGCGUAGAUAUUGGGAGGAACACCAGUGGCGAAGGCGGCUUACUGGACGACACCUGACGCUGAGACACGAAAGCGUGGGGAG
rnacentral:rRNA from 1 species